rnacentral:rRNA from 1 species
UACGUAGGGGGCAAGCGUUGUCCGGAUUUAUUGGGCGUAAAGAGCGUGUAGGCGGCUUUGCAAGUCCGUUGUGAAAACUCGAGCUCAACCUCGAGACGCCGGUGGAAACUGCAAAGCUAGAGUCCGGAAGAGGAGAGUGGAAUUCCGUGGUGUAGCGGUGAAAUGCGCAGAUAUCAGGAAGAACACCGGUGGCGAAGGCGGCUCUCUGGGACGGUACUGACGCUGAGACGCGAAAGCGUGGGGAGCGAACAGG